ACAUCAUUAUGACUAGAGCUAUUAUUAUAUCUAUUACUCUACUAAUCAUUACUAACGAUUAUUAAAAAAAUUAUUUCUGUGUCUAGUGAUGGCUAUUAAGAGUACAAGGUCCGAUAGUUAUUAUAUGAUUAAUACUAACCGGAGGGCGUCUUGUCGCCUGCAGACAUUUUUUGAAAGGCUAGCAAUGCGUCUGGAAAAUUCGGCGGUGUCGCUGGGGUAUUGCAAGGUGUUAUCUGUAAUAUUUAACAUAAAUAAAUUAUUAAUAAUAAUAAUAAUAAUAAUAAAGCAAAUUUGUUGGUGAGCUAGUUUAAACCGGUAAAGUCUGUUUGGUCGAAGCGACGUUGGAUUUGGCACGAGGCUUAUCGGAAUGUUAUAGCCGAGAAUAGUAACCUACACUACCUAGUGACGGAUUUUGCUCAUCAUCAUCCAGUGACUCUCAAAUUUAAUUAUAGAUAUAUAUAUACACACUACAAUCAUCAUCAUUAUCAUCAUCAACGCUCAUUCAUCGUUACUUUAUACAACUUGUUUAUUAUCAACCGAUAAGCUUUUAAAUUUUUCAACGAUAUAAUUUUUGCUGAUGGAAAAUUCAACCGAGUUAUUUAAAUACAAAUAGAAAGUUAAUAAUUAUCACGACAGAGGAGUUGUCGCUGAAUACUGGAUGUGAGGAUACAUAUAUCGUUGGCAUGGCUACACCACGGAAAACAUAAUAAUAUAAAGAUUAUUAGCAACAGCUGCGACAACAGUAAAUUAAUCAAACAAAAAAAUCUCAAGCUAAUCUCUUGGUUGAUGUGUCACGUCACUUGCUAUUAAUUAUUUUAUUAUUAAAAAAUCUAUCUAAUAAUAAUAAUAAAUCGAAUGAUA